UUGUUUGCAGAUGCAGCAUCACCAAGAUUCACAUGCAAAUACAGGGAAUCUGCAACUAUAGCUAUAGCCAGCCAAUACAUAUUGACUAAUUAUAUAUAUACAUUCUUCUACCCAAGUUCUUCUUUUUCGUUGUUUCUUCUUUUUGAAGGUGAGAAUCUUGAUGAUGCUGCAUCAGCAAUAAA
rfam:Jatropha curcas cultivar GZQX0401 scaffold464_9, whole genome shotgun sequence.